AACGAACGCUGGCGGCGUGCUUAACACAUGCAAGUCGAACGCGAAAGGGACUUCGGUCCUGAGUAAAGUGGCGCACGGGUGAGUAACGCGUAGAUAACCUGUCUUCAUGUCUGGAAUAAUACGCCGAAAGGGGUACUAAUACCGGAUAUUCUUGCUUUUCAUAAGUUAUGCAAGCAAAGGUGGCCUCUGCAUAUGCUACUGCAUGAAGAGGGGUCUGCGUACCAUUAGCUAGUAGGUGGGGCAAUGGCCUACCUAGGCGACGAUGGUUAGCGGGUCUGAGAGGAUGAUCCGCCACACUGGCACUGGAACACGGGCCAGACUCCUACGGGAGGCAGCAGUGAGGAAUAUUGCGCAAUGGGGGAAACCCUGACGCAGCGACGCCGCGUGAGUGAGGAAAGGCCUUCGGGUCGUAAAGCUCUGUCAAGAGGAAAGAAGUGUACAAUGGCUAAUACCUGUUGUAUUUGACGGUACCUCUAAAGGAAGCACCGGCUAACUCCGUGCCAGCAGCUGC
rnacentral:rRNA from 1 species